AGUUCGUCCACCAGGGAGGAGGACAAACACUGAACAGUGCUGUUAGCUCUGAAGUCAGUCUGCAGGAGCAGCGGAGGUUAAGACCGAAUGCAUCUAAAUUCUGUCAUCUGGUCCACAUUUUUCUACCUUGUACAUGAGGAUAUCUUGAGAAAUUCUGCUCAAAGUACUACUGAAAUCAAGAAUUAAAACUUAAAUGCUAAGGCUGGGGAUGUAGCUCAGUGAUGCUGAGCCUGUCUGGCAAGCUCAAGGUUCCAAGUUCGAGCCCCAGUAAUGAAGGAAAAACAACAACAACAACAACAACAACAACAACAAAAACAAACAACCAAAAACUUAAAUGGAAAUUCAAGAAACUACCGAUAGAAUUACAUCAUGAGGCCUGGACAUCAGUGUCCUCCAGGGAGCCUGUGGUCAGGAGGCUGUUCCAGAGCUGUCCCACAUCCUUCUUGUUUCCCACCCAGGUCUCAUUGCACCUGAACAGACCCAUGCGUCAAAGCCAGGUUUGCUUCUUCCUCUUUUCACUUCAACUUUCUCCCUCAAUCUCAG